UACGAAGGGGGCUAGCGUUGCUCGGAAUCACUGGGCGUAAAGCGCACGUAGGCGGAUUGCUAAGUCAGGGGUGAAAUCCUGGAGCUCAACUCCAGAACUGCCUUUGAUACUGGCGACCUUGAGUCCGGGAGAGGUGAGUGGAACUCCUAGUGUAGAGGUGGAAUUCGUAGAUAUUAGGAAGAACACCAGUGGCGAAGGCGGCUCACUGGUCCGGUACUGACGCUGAGGUGCGAAAGCGUGGGGAGCAAACAGG
rnacentral:rRNA from 1 species